rnacentral:lncRNA from 13 species
UGAACGUUCUUAGUGGUGGCCACGUUCCAGGACAACUACACUGCAGAGGCCUGCCUGCCUGCUCGCAGGUGUUUACCAUGUCAGUUAAUCCGACGCCCACUGCCAUGUUGUGGCUAGCAGCCAUUGGUUGCUGCAAUGAAACGUAGUCUGUAAUCUAGUUGACCUAGAACUCGACCGAUAACGUCCGACCGCGAUCAUUUGGAAGAAGUUGGUGCAUGUUGAGGGUGUUUGAACGGGUUCCGUGCUAGCCCGCCCGCUGUACAGCUGGGUUGAAGACGUGGCAGGGCUGAAUGGUGAGCCAGUCAGGGCCCAGCGCUGCUGUGUGUUGAAUGGUAGGUAUGCACCUUGGGAACUGUAGUGGAUGCUGCAUGGUUGGUCCGUUUAUUUAUUCCAGCCGUUCCUCUGCAUGACGUAAAGCGCAUGGCGUGGAACGGCUCUGAUCGAGGCUCCAACCCCGAGUCGGAGCACGCUCAGUCUGCUCCGCCCAACGCUCCACUAGGGAGCCACACUGUCCCUGUAACAGCCAGUACCACAGCACAGUAAGAACACACGCACAGCAGUGCACAAACCACCAACAACUAAAGGAUGCCUGCUGCCUAAAACAUGUCUGUCUCUCUCUUUUCUUCCUCCUCUCUCCCACUUGUUACCGGAAGCAUGCAAAAGUUUACUUAACAAGAAGGCGGAUGCUGCUAAGGUAAGGAGUUAAAUCUGAUGUCAUAUAGCUAGCUGUCUCUCUCUCUCUCUCUCUCUCUACACACACACACCCCUUCUGGUUCACGGGGGUGGUGAGGAGAUUACUUGAUUUAGUGGAGAAUUACAGGCUGUAUAUGUAAAGAGGGAAAUUAAGAUUUG